rnacentral:lncRNA from 1 species
UUUGACUCACAUGUGGGGGAGAGGUCAUGCAGACGUGAAUAGGGGUUGUGUAUCUAGCCUGAGUAACUUAUUUCAGAUUUUCAACACUAGCAAGUUAAUGGCCUGAAAUGUCCCCCACCGGGGCUCGGAGAUAUUGGCCAUUGGAGUUCUGACAUUAUUUCUAGUCAUUGAGUUCCCUUCCUCUAUCACCUCCAAUUCUGUUCUUAAAGACGUUUUCGGGCUGAAUCCUGAGCUCUUUAAGUCCAUUUGGGUGAUUCCUCAACCCAAGUUGUUACAGGAAGACAGAAUGAGGAAUAUGGCGUUGGGCAUACUUUCAUUGAACUAGAAAAGGUUAAUUUGCCCUACUUUUCUGGUACCUCUCUUUCUUCAAUCUCUGAAUUCUUUCUCUUGCUUUUAUUAACUGCCUUGGUGAUCAAGUUAGCCAGAUCUAAUACUUGAUAGAUACCCACUGACAAAUGUAAUUCUGUAAGUCAAAAAGUGAUUUUCUUAUUUUCAUUUUUUUGCCUUCCUGCCAUAGCAAUUCUUAGCCUCCCUAUAGCUAAGGAUGGAGACAUACUGUUAGGGUUACCUAUAGUGAAAUGCUAAAUUAAAAAAAAAAAUCUGUCAUGUCAUUUGUUUAGCAAUUAUAAUUGUUUUGGAAAUCUACAGGUCAUGGUUUUCCAGAAUGAAGUAAUGCUUUCGAUCAAACCAAGAAAAUGAAAGCCGUAACGAAAACAGCACUGCCUGGGCACUUCCAGUGAUAUUCCUUUUAUUCAUUGGAGGCUGUCACUCGAUCCGAACCCCAUGUCUAGUUCUUAGGCAAUUAAGAUUUCGGGAGGUGGGGUGCCUUAUAUGUCACUCUAUUUUGUGGUGGAGCCCUUUGAAUUAUUUGUUUUUCCAAAGAGGGCCUUUUACGAGUUUUGACGUGUAGAAAGGGAAUUUUUAUAAAAGAGGAUUACUAUGAGUUCAAGAAAAAAAUUUUAAGCAUAUAAGAGGUGUUCAAGAAAUGUUCUUAUGAAUCGUCUUAUCCCUGUUUUAAGGAUGAAUGUCGACAGCUGAGGUCAAACACAGAUUAUGUAACAUUAAGAUAACUAGGUAACUUAGAAAACUAUAAUUUUACAAGACUUCCUUGGAAGUCUCGUUUUACAAGAAGUCUCAACCUGUGACACCAAGCAUCCUUUUAGGAUCCAGCACAAGCAGCAAGUGUUCUCGGGCUUACGGGCGUCUAAGAUGCAGGUCAGAUAAACUUCCACCCCGGUUCCCCUUCCCUAGAGGAUUUGCAGUC